rnacentral:lncRNA from 1 species
GGAAGGCACUCGGAAGGUGGGGGCAGAAAGGAAGUCGAUGAUUCGCGGAGCUUGUCGAGGACAAGUGGUGGCUCCAGACUGUCUGAAGACAGGAGUCUGUCAAGUGUCUGCUUUAAGAAAUCAGGUGUGCUGGCUGCUCCUAACUCUCAGAAGAAUGGGGAAGGGAGAUAAAGUGAUGCCCAGCCCAGCCCACAGGACACCUCCCCGCUCCAAGCCCUGUUCCUUACAUGCUGUCAUUGCUGAACACGGCU